CACCGGUUCCGUACGAUCACCGAAGUUAAGCAGCAUCGGGCGUGGUGCAAACUUGGAUGGGGGACCGUUUGAGAACGCCACGUGCUGUUGGCU
rnacentral:rRNA from 1 species